rnacentral:rRNA from 1 species
GGGUUGUGAGGUUAAGCGACUAAGCGUACACGGUGGAUGCCCUGGCAGUCAGAGGCGAUGAAGGACGUGCUAAUCUGCGAUAAGCGUCGGUAAGGUGAUAUGAACCGUUAUAACCGGCGAUUUCCGAAUGGGGAAACCCAGUGUGUUUCGACACACUAUCAUUAACUGAAUCCAUAGGUUAAUGAGGCGAACCGGGGGAACUGAAACAUCUAAGUACCCCGAGGAAAAGAAAUCAACCGAGAUUCCCCCAGUAGCGGCGAGCGAACGGGGAGCAGCCCAGAGCCUGAAUCAGUGUGUGUGUUAGUGGAAGCGUCUGGAAAGGCGCGCGAUACAGGGUGACAGCCCCGUACACAAAAAUGCACAUGCUGUGAGCUCGAUGAGUAGGGCGGGACACGUGGUAUCCUGUCUGAAUAUGGGGGGACCAUCCUCCAAGGCUAAAUACUCCUGACUGACCGAUAGUGAACCAGUACCGUGAGGGAAAGGCGAAAAGAACCCCGGCGAGGGGAGUGAAAAAGAACCUGAAACCGUGUACGUACAAGCAGUGGGAGCCUCUUUAUGGGGUGACUGCGUACCUUUUGUAUAAUGGGUCAGCGACUUAUAUUCUGUAGCAAGGUUAACCGAAUAGGGGAGCCGAAGGGAAACCGAGUCUUAACUGGGCGUUAAGUUGCAGGGUAUAGACCCGAAACCCGGUGAUCUAGCCAUGGGCAGGUUGAAGGUUGGGUAACACUAACUGGAGGACCGAACCGACUAAUGUUGAAAAAUUAGCGGAUGACUUGUGGCUGGGGGUGAAAGGCCAAUCAAACCGGGAGAUAGCUGGUUCUCCCCGAAAGCUAUUUAGGUAGCGCCUCGUGAAUUCAUCUCCGGGGGUAGAGCACUGUUUCGGCAAGGGGGUCAUCCCGACUUACCAACCCGAUGCAAACUGCGAAUACCGGAGAAUGUUAUCACGGGAGACACACGGCGGGUGCUAACGUCCGUCGUGAAGAGGGAAACAACCCAGACCGCCAGCUAAGGUCCCAAAGUCAUGGUUAAGUGGGAAACGAUGUGGGAAGGCCCAGACAGCCAGGAUGUUGGCUUAGAAGCAGCCAUCAUUUAAAGAAAGCGUAAUAGCUCACUGGUCGAGUCGGCCUGCGCGGAAGAUGUAACGGGGCUAAACCAUGCACCGAAGCUGCGGCAGCGACGCUUAUGCGUUGUUGGGUAGGGGAGCGUUCUGUAAGCCUGUGAAGGUGUGCUGUGAGGCAUGCUGGAGGUAUCAGAAGUGCGAAUGCUGACAUAAGUAACGAUAAAGCGGGUGAAAAGCCCGCUCGCCGGAAGACCAAGGGUUCCUGUCCAACGUUAAUCGGGGCAGGGUGAGUCGACCCCUAAGGCGAGGCCGAAAGGCGUAGUCGAUGGGAAACAGGUUAAUAUUCCUGUACUUGGUGUUACUGCGAAGGGGGGACGGAGAAGGCUAUGUUGGCCGGGCGACGGUUGUCCCGGUUUAAGCGUGUAGGCUGAUUUUCCAGGCAAAUCCGGAAAAUCAAGGCUGAGGCGUGAUGACGAGGCACUACGGUGCUGAAGCAACAAAUGCCCUGCUUCCAGGAAAAGCCUCUAAGCAUCAGGUAACAUCAAAUCGUACCCCAAACCGACACAGGUGGUCAGGUAGAGAAUACCAAGGCGCUUGAGAGAACUCGGGUGAAGGAACUAGGCAAAAUGGUGCCGUAACUUCGGGAGAAGGCACGCUGAUAUGUAGGUGAAGUCCCUCGCGGAUGGAGCUGAAAUCAGUCGAAGAUACCAGCUGGCUGCAACUGUUUAUUAAAAACACAGCACUGUGCAAACACGAAAGUGGACGUAUACGGUGUGACGCCUGCCCGGUGCCGGAAGGUUAAUUGAUGGGGUCAGCGCAAGCGAAGCUCUUGAUCGAAGCCCCGGUAAACGGCGGCCGUAACUAUAACGGUCCUAAGGUAGCGAAAUUCCUUGUCGGGUAAGUUCCGACCUGCACGAAUGGCGUAAUGAUGGCCAGGCUGUCUCCACCCGAGACUCAGUGAAAUUGAACUCGCUGUGAAGAUGCAGUGUACCCGCGGCAAGACGGAAAGACCCCGUGAACCUUUACUAUAGCUUGACACUGAACAUUGAGCCUUGAUGUGUAGGAUAGGUGGGAGGCUUUGAAGUGUGGACGCCAGUCUGCAUGGAGCCGGCCUUGAAAUACCACCCUUUAAUGUUUGAUGUUCUAACGUGGACCCGUAAUCCGGGUUGCGGACAGUGUCUGGUGGGUAGUUUGACUGGGGCGGUCUCCUCCUAAAGAGUAACGGAGGAGCACGAAGGUUGGCUAAUCCUGGUCGGACAUCAGGAGGUUAGUGCAAUGGCAUAAGCCAGCUUGACUGCGAGCGUGACGGCGCGAGCAGGUGCGAAAGCAGGUCAUAGUGAUCCGGUGGUUCUGAAUGGAAGGGCCAUCGCUCAACGGAUAAAAGGUACUCCGGGGAUAACAGGCUGAUACCGCCCAAGAGUUCAUAUCGACGGCGGUGUUUGGCACCUCGAUGUCGGCUCAUCACAUCCUGGGGCUGAAGUAGGUCCCAAGGGUAUGGCUGUUCGCCAUUUAAAGUGGUACGCGAGCUGGGUUUAGAACGUCGUGAGACAGUUCGGUCCCUAUCUGCCGUGGGCGCUGGAGAACUGAGGGGGGCUGCUCCUAGUACGAGAGGACCGGAGUGGACGCAUCACUGGUGUUCGGGUUGUCAUGCCAAUGGCACUGCCCGGUAGCUAAAUGCGGAAGAGAUAAGUGCUGAAAGCAUCUAAGCACGAAACUUGCCCCGAGAUGAGUUCUCCCUGACCCUUUAAGGGUCCUGAAGGAACGUUGAAGACGACGACGUUGAUAGGCCGGGUGUGUAAGCGCAGCGAUGCGUUGAGCUAACCGGUACUAAUGAACCGUGAGGCUUAACCUUACAAC